AGAAUUUGGACAAUAAUGAGGGAUAAACAUCGACCUCGACGGGCAACAAGAACUGGAACAAAUAGAACAAAAGAAAACCACAAUAGAGACUCAAACUUACAGGCUAUAUUGCAAAUAAGAAUAAAGAGAUUGACAAGAUUCCAAAAUCCAACAUGCUUCCGGCUAUUGCGUCCAACAAAGAAUGAUGAACAAAACAACAUCGUUCCAUAUUAUCCAAAUAUCCGAGAUUUUGUCUUUA
rnacentral:misc_RNA from 1 species